CGGAGAUGUUCAAAAUGUGGAUGAGAUUCAGUUCCUGGCCAUAAAGAUCUCUCCAGUCAUUGAAGUCUGAUUGAAGGAUUUUUCUUUUGGUCAAGCUGACACCACUCCGUGAAAGACAGCUGCCUACUACGAAUAAGCUGCCUUUGGAGGGGGAAACAGUGACAAAGGACAGAAAGUAGAAUUAUGAUAUCCAUUUUGGUCUUCAUAAGAAAAUAGAAAAGCUGAAGGAACUGAAUAGACCAAAAUCGACCUGCGCAAACUCCAGUCUUAGAAGACUGAAGGUGAGCAACGUGUCAAGAUGUCAGAGCUGUUUCUCAUGCUCCUAAAUCCACAAAAUUCUUUUAGGACUAUUUGUUGUGGUCCAUCCAUGUUGAUAAUGUAAAGAAUGUCUGGGUGUAGACUGUAGUGCUACUGAACAUAAUCUCUCUCUCUCUCUCUCUCUCUUUCUCUCUCUCUCUCUCUCUCUCUCUCACACACACACACACACACACACACACUUAUGGAGUUUAUGCAAAUUUAAAUAGAAGAGUGAGGGUUUGGCCUUAGAAAUGGGACAUAGGGGUUAAACUACACAGUAAUAAUUUCCUUCUCUAGCUAUUUUAAUUAAGUAUAUAAAGUGCAAAUUGAAGGGAAAUGAUAUGGAAUAAAAUUAAUCUCUUAAUGUUAUUAUUCAGAAAAUUCCUAGAUGCCUGACUUAAAAAAACAAAUGACUAGUUUCAUAACAAAUGUAGUUCUUUUUCUGAGUCAUGUGUUUUCCCAAGUGGGUAAGAAUUCAAGGACCAGACUUAAAUAACUAUUUAAAUGUCAUGCAGUGGUAUCAGGGAAAUUGACCAUGACCAUUCUGGCUCUACAGGCUUGGGGACAGAUCACAUCCCAAGAUUAUUUAAUUUCUUGGAUUAAAACCACUUAAUAAAUACAUAGAUCCUAUUUGGAAAGUCAGUCCCAGACUGACUUGAGAGUUUCCGAGUCCCAGGUCCCGUGCUAAGCCCUUACCUGCAGUUUUGUCUCAUCAGUCCUAACAGUGAAUUUAUGAAGUUUGCUCAAAAGUCUUCCAUAAAGGGCUUUGCUGGAAUUUCAUCACAUUUAUUUUCUGAGCAACUCUUCAAACUCCCUUGAAAUGACUUAACACUGUAUUUUGCACAUUGUGACUUAGAAAAUUGAGUACAUAGGGAUUUUAUUUUAUCUUUUCAAACUAGACAAAGUUUCUUUACUAUUGCUACUAGAAAAAAAAUGGUGCUGUCUUGGAAAAAACAGAUUGAUUUGGACAGAAAAAGAAGGAAUGGGUGAGUGGUGCUGUCCUGGAAUGUCCUCGGCUCUCCCUGCACCUCUGAGGGCCCCGUCUGUUGGGGGUUUCUGGAGGUUUUCAAGUCUUUGUCAGGAUUGUGCUCGGGCCCCAACGCAGUCAUUAAAUCGAUGCAAUUAGCUACCGUGCAUAAUUGCACUGCUAAUCCUUUUAUACUGCUGGUUUUUCCAGAAGCUGCUAGCUCCCAUCAAGGAGCUUAAUCCCUUUUCUUCAGGUUUUAACUCUUAAGUCUUGGGGAAUACAGUGCAAUCCUGGGUGCCAGUCUGACUUAACGUGCUAGCAAACCAGACCAUGGAGCAUAUCUGCUGGCUUGGAAUUCCUUGGCUUCUAUAAAUUUAUUUUAGUUUAAAGGUGGGGCUAAGUAGAAUUUUCUGGUUUUCCUUUUAAAAAAGGUAAGUAAAUUUAUUCUUUGACAGUUUCAUACAUGUAUAUAGUACAUUCCGAUGACUCUUAUCUUUACCACACCCCCCAAGUCCAAUCCUUUCCCACAUUCAUGUCCUUUUGCUUUGUUUAGUCAGGGCCGGCUGCGUGGCUAUGGGUUUGGAACUAUCCUGGAGCCUGAUGGGCUCACCAGUGAGUACACAGCUGAAGGUGACUCCCAACUCUUCCAGACUCUAUUGGCAGCCAGUAGGUCCAGGGUGAGGGGCAGAGCCCCACAGGCCCCUCCCCUCCCCAGGCCCCUCCCCUCCCUAUCUUUGAGCAGGCCCAGUGCGUUAACAGCAGUUGCUCCGUGUUCGUGUUUGUGAUGAUGUCUCACAGCCAUUUUCCCAGUUAUUUGGCUUUUACAUUCCCCCCCCCCCCCCGCUUCUUCCAUGGUGUCCCCUGAGCCUUCGGGGGUGCUGUUGGUAUAGAUGUCUUAUUUAGGGCUGAGCAUUCCACCGUCACUUAUUCUCCGAACCUUGAGCAGCCGUGAUGAGUCUUUGCAUUCAUUGUGGUUCACUGCAGAUAGAUGCGUUUUCUGGUUUCGAUAAAUAGGUGGGUAUUUAUGGAGUUAUAUAAGAUGUUGGACUUUAUUUAUUACAAAUGGAGACCCUACAGUCGGUAAUGUUGGCUGUUGUCAUCGUCCGUCAUACGGAGGCCAUCAAGCACAAGAAUAGUUCUGCUCUAGGCCCUGGGCUGGAUCCCAAGCACUGGUGGGGGUGGGUCACUAGUACUUACUCUGCUAGACACUGUCAGGACUUUAGGUUCAUUUUCCCAUGCAACCCACUUAACAACCCGGGAGUCAGAAACUAUUAGUCUCUGCUCACAGAGGAGGAGACUGAAGCUGGGGGGAUAACACAAGUGAUGAAUUAGUGGUCCAGCUGGAUGGACACCAACCUGUCACUAGACUGUGUAGUCUUAAAUCCACCCUUUCAUUGCCAGACCCUGAAUUAAAAUUUGCUUUGUGCUUUUAAAGUCUCCCUGCCGUGGCGAAGAUGGCACCUUUUUAUCAUCACAGCGUGUUUUAGGAAUGGAUGACAUUUACUAUGUACAACUGAACUAAGUGGAGUUUUUAAGGUAGGCAGCUCUGAAGAUAUUCCUUUUGGCUUAGUUGGUAUUUGAAGUGCAGUUUAUGGAGCUGUUCUGGGCCCUGGUCAUGUGCAAUUAUCAUGCAUGCUUCUUCAUCCAUGGUCUUCCUAGGCCCACAUCUGAGCACACGCCGAUUCUAGGUAUCCAGGUGGACUUCAAACUAGUAUCGGGGUGUACUUCAAACUAGUAUCCAGAAGGACUUCAAACUAGUAUCCAGGUGGACUUCAAACUAGUAUCUAGGUGUACUUCAAACUAGUAUCUGGGUGGAUUUCAAACUGGACCAAGCUGCCUUUGGACCAACAGUGAAGUUGUGCUCGGUCUCACCCUGGUCUCCUUCCCCCUCUUUCUGUUGAACCUCUCUACCCCUCAUCAGGCACUGUGGGCUUUCCUGUGUUUUAACUUCUCAUUCAUCUAAAGGGAUGUGGUGCUGCUCACCGACCCUGGUAAGACACCGCCUAUUCACUGUAUGCGGCUCAGAUCUUCAGCCUCCGUGUUUCAAGCUCGUUUCUUUUAAUUGUGAAAUGAAAGACUGUUCUCGGCAGCAGGAAUUUCAGAUCUUGCUAAGGAGGAGUGGGGAGAUGUUGGACAGAAGUUUGCUGAAAUCACACUCUGCCCACUUGAAAAACCAGCCUUGAGCAAAAGUACGGUUUUGUUUUUUAGGAACACAUAUGGUGGACUGGGGAGAUGUCUCAGCCUGAAAAGUGCUCGCCAUGCAAGGAUCAAGACCCAAGUUUGGGUCCCUAGCAUGGUAUAGAAAGCAGGGCCUGGUGGUACAUGGCUAUAAUCCAAGCUGUGUGAGGGUGGUGAGCAGGGAACCCCCUGUUGGUGAUCUCCAGGUUCAGCGUAACCUUGUGAAAAAAAAAAAAGAUGACUGAGGAAGAUACCCUCAUGUACAUGUGUGUAUUUGCACACACAUGUAUACAUACACACACAUAUAUACCACAUACACACUUACAUCCAAAUAAAAAAAAUUAAAAAACAACAACAGAAUGUAAAUGGUGGAGUAGAUAGAGGAGGAGCCUCCCAUUCCAUACAUUUGUCUCCCCUGCUCAACACAGCUUCAGGCUCCAUGGGCUGGUCCUUAGAGUCAGCACCCAGGCAUCCCUUCGGAAGUUCAGGAAUUUGUCUCCUCUUCAGAUUUCUUUGCCUCCUUUCCCUUUCCUGCCGCCCACUGUCUCCCAAGAAUCUAAAAUGCCCGCACAUGGAGGCUCACCCCACCUCAGUCUGAGGCAGCCCAAUCCUGCAGCCCGGGAAUUGCUCUGCCAUUUCUGUCUCAGCCUGCGGUGGUCCUAAGAACCCAUGAUUUUGCCGCAGGAGUCAACGAGACACAGAGGGUAGCAGCUGCAUGCGCUGUUAAUCCCCUGAAGGAUGAGGAAGAAAUGCAGGGAAAGACAGCCAAGGUUCAGCUGAUGUCAGGCUUCCAGAGAGACGCAGAGCAUCGGAAGGUAUACUCAGGACAAUGGUCUUUUUAGUGCUGGUGGAUAUGUUUCUGAAGAAGAGAAACAUGCAUGUAUCAGAAAAGCCUGUCAAUAAAGUCACUGAUGUUGCUCCUUGA